CGGCCCCCAUCGCUGUGGACUUCUCGGUGCCGUACCCAAUGACUUACUUUCAGACCCGCAAUCCCAUCCAGAACAUAGUUACCAACUCCCUUUUCCAAGAGGUCUACGUGGCCUCUCAGAACGUCAUCGAGGCCGUGAACAUCACUCUAGGGAAACUGUGGGAACUCCGUACGGGACCGGUUGCCAGUCCGGAGUGUGAGAUAUGCAAUUUGUGUGAUAUCGCAAGAGAUCCCUUCCAAGAGGACACAGACAAUGAGGUGUUGCUCCUAGACACGUUCCUGAUGUACUUGUACUCGUGUGGAAGUUCCCAGUAUGGAGUUUGCUUUUUCCAUCAACUCCAUGAAAAUGGAAAGCCUCCUGGGCCUUCGAAGUGUUUAUUCCGGAAGAAGUUCAACUCUCCGCACUUCUGUCCGGAUUGCAUCGCUAGUCCUUUGGGAACUAAAGUCUCCAUGGUGGAAGAGGGUCAAACGGUUUACUUCUUUGUCGCGGCAACAGUGAACAGCAGCGUGACUCAAAAAUACGGUCGCAUGUCCAUUUCCGUACGCCGACCAGUUGCGACCGAGGAUGGUUUUUACACCGACGUCAGAGGGUUGACGGUUUUGCCUGCUCUAUGGCAAACAUACAGCAUUGAGUACAUCUACAGUUUCUACACGCAGGACUUUGUCUACUUCUUGUCUGUCCAACGAGAGAGAACCGACAUAGACACUUCGCCCUUUCAAACAAGACUAGGCCGUCUACCACGCCACGAGUGGGAGAUGCGACGGUAUCGUGAAAUUGUUUUAGAGUGUCGUUUUGAGCCCAAACGGCGACGGAGAAGCAAUGUCAGCGAACCUUUCAAAGACGUGGUCUACAACGUGGUUCAAGCGGCCCAUUUUGGGAAGGCUGGGCGGGAGCUCGCGGAUGAGCUGGGUGCUGAAGAAGAGGAUGAUAUCUUAUAUGGUGUGUUCGCUGUAACUGAUGACUCGGGUGUUCCUGAAGAUGACUCGGCACUUUGUGCAUUUCCGAUGGAUACAGUAAACACAGCAAUAGAUGACGGAGUGGAGGACUGUUGCAAGUCGGGACCAGAACAGCUUUCCAGAGGCCUUUGCCAUUUUCAGCCCUGUGAGAGCUGCCCACACGAGAGCAUGGAGCACAAUAUGACCUGCAGAGAUCAGCCCACCCUGGUGUCUCAGCCGUACUACAGAGUAGACCUCUUCAACAGACAGAUGAGAGGCGUUCUGCUCACUUCUAUACUGGUCACCAGCAUCGAGAACAAGACAGUGGCUCAUAUAGGCACAUCAGAUGGGAGACUCCUGCAGCUUGUCCUGAGAAGGUCCAGCCCGGUCAUCUUUGCCAAUUACUCCCUUGUAGAGAACCAGAAGGUGUCGUCUACCGCAGCGGUUCUUUCCCCAGACCAUUUACUGUUUGUUGUUGGAGAUAAGAUGAUUCAGGUGCCUCAGAGAGGUCCAGGUUGCCGACACUUCCUCACAUGUGCCAUGUGCCUGACCGCACCAACGUUCAUGGGGUGUGGCUGGUGCUCGGGUCAGUGCACCUGGGCUUCGGAGUGCAGGGGAUACUGGGGAAAUGAGUCAUGUCCGCCUGGCAUCACAGAGUUUUUCCCCAAGACAGCACCCCCUGAUGGUCAGAGUGAGAUGACUCUGUGUGGAUGGGAGUUCCAGUCGCCCCUGCGACCCGCCAUCACGACCAGAACCCAUGAGGUGAAGCUGGGUGAGACCGCCUGUGUGGUCCAGCCUCACAGAAGCAACAACACACACUUAUUGUGUAAGAUCCGCUCUGGGACGUCAGAGCCACUUUUUAAACCAUUGAACGUCACAGCAAAAGUGCACGAGGGACGAGCGGAGGGCCGCUACUCUAUUGAAGGAAGUGCAGAAAUGCCUGGAUUCACCUUUGUGGUUCCAAACAUCACUGAGGUUCAACCUGACUAUGGGCCGGUGGACGGAGGAACCCUCAUCACCAUCACAGGUCCUUAUCUGGACUCUGGCAAAAACAGGAAAGUUACACUUGAUGGAGAAACAUGUCCAAUCCGAAGUGUCUCUGUGGCCAGAGGAAACCUGUCCUCCAUCGUAUGUGUCUCUCAGCCUGUGACGGAGGUGAAGGACGUGGUGCUCCGUGUCUACAUCGAUAAGUCCCGUGUUGUGACCACUAACGUCUUCCGCUACAAAAAGACCCCUGAGAUCCUUUCGGUGCUGCCCGAUUGCAGCUUUGACAGUGGGUCAAGAAUCGUCAUUGAAGGCCGAAAUCUGGACUCUGUCUACAAAACUGUUGUCUACUUUAAACCCAAAGAAAGCCACCUCAAGCCUGUUUCCAUUGAGUGCAGGGGUAAAGCAAAACCCACCCGAAUGGAGUGCAUCACCCCCGUCUUCCAUCGAGAUGAGACCGAAGAGGGCGAGCUCUCGUUUGACAUGGACGGAGUGCUUGGCCUGUGGAAACAAGACUUCUCCUACCACCCCUAUGGCAGACCCAUCCCGUUUGAGACUGAAGGUCACAUACUGAGACUCUACCCUGGGUUUGAUGAAGUGUCCUUGCAUCAUCAGAAGUUGAACCUUGUGAGUUCUUGCAUGUCAAUCACGAUGACGGUUGGAGACGUUGACUGUGGCGCUAAAGUUCUAGAUAAUGAGAUCACAUGCAGGAUCCCUAAUAAUAUCACUAUUCCCAGUGAGGGUUUACCUGUGAAGGUAACAGUUAAUGGGUACACACAUAAUGUUGGCACUGUAAUCUUGGUCAGUAACCACUAUAUGGUGGGUAUUGUCCUUGGCAUACUGGCAGCUCUGGUCACGGGUGCGGUUAUGGCCUUCAUUGUGUUGAAACAUCUGAGGAAGCAGAAAAAAGCUUCGCUGGCAGAAAGUCGUCUGUCUUAUUUUUCCCACAGUCGUUCGCGUAAUAAUAGUGUGGAUUUAAGUCCCUUAGGAGACUACAGACGUGAACUGCCCGUCACAACCAUCAUUGCACCCGCUGGGGUCGUGGCGUUCCCAAGCCUGGCCUACACAGGCACCCUGGACACAACCCUGACCCCUCUAAUGCCCCCAGAGAAGAUCUCCAUCACCAGUUUCCGCCCUGAGCUUCUGGAGGAGGUGAAGGACGUGCUGAUCCCAGCUUCCAUGCUCAAGGUUCACCACCACCAGAUCAUCGGGAAGGGACACUUCGGCACAGUUUACCAUGGUUACCUCACUGACCACAACAACAGAGAAAUCCAUUGUGCUGUAAAAUCUCUCAACAGAAUAACAGAUGUGGAAGAAGUGGAGCAGUUUCUGAAAGAGGGCAUUCUGAUGAAGGGAUUUCAUCACAGUAAUGUUCUCUCUCUUCUGGGUAUCCUGCUUCCCGAAGAGGGACUUCCAUUGGUGGUCUUACCUUACAUGAAACACGGAGACUUGCGUCACUUCAUUCGCUGUGAAAAGAGGAAUCCCACAGUUAAGGAUUUGAUUGGCUUUGGACUCCAGGUUGCUAAAGGAAUGGAGUAUCUGGCACAAAAGAAAUUCGUUCACCGGGAUCUAGCAGCACGCAAUUGCAUGCUUGAUGAAUCCUACACCGUAAAGGUAGCAGACUUUGGAAUGGCUCGAGAUGUGCUUGAGAAGGAGUACUACAGCGUCCAGGAUCACAGGAAAGCCAAAUUACCCGUUAAAUGGAUGGCCAUUGAGAGCCUGCAGACGCAGAAGUUCACGACCAAGUCAGAUGUGGUGAGAUAUGAAAAUGAAAUAUGCUUACUGGAUUACAGUAAGUAUGUCUCAACUUUUUAUUCUGUCUUUGACUGCAGUGGUCUUUUGGGGUCCUGAUGUGGGAGAUGCUCACACGAGGAGCCAGCCCGUACCCUGAAGUUGACCCGUAUGAUAUCACACAUUACCUCUUAAAGGGACGACGGCUGCCUCAGCCACAGUAUUGUCCAGGUCCCCUGUUUGCCAUUAUGCUACAGUGUUGGGACCCCGACCCUGAGAAGAGACCAACCUUCUCCACACUAGUGUCCGCUGUAAUGAGUAUCCUGUCCAGCCUGGAGGGGGAACACUACAUCAGCCUGAAGGUCACAUACGUCAAUCUGGACCAGCCCCGGCCCUACCCCGCUCUAACAGACUCUGCCGAUGAAUAUGAUUCGUCAGAUGCAGAUGAUGCAGGCUCAGUCUCUAGCUGAUUGGCUAACUGGUUUGAUACUCACUAAAAAGGGAGUCUUUUUGCUGACAAGGCAGUAGGUGUGUUUGACUUGAAGUGGUGCUGCGCAGACUGAUCGGUGUAUGACAUCAAAGUACCGCAAAAGCAUAUAAACACACUAAACCUAAUGACUGUGCUUUAAAGAGGGAGGCAUACGCAAAAAAAAGUUGCAGUUGAAUUAGUAGUGUGUUGAAACGUGCGGAUAUGCUAAGGGUUGUGACAUUUACGAAACGUGCCCGAAGCAGUUGACCAAUCACACUGGUCCAGCCGACCAAUCAGCCACAUUGUUCUUUUCGUAAGGAGGGAGGAACUAAACAGAGCAUUACUGACAUACUGCCCCUAUUAGGCUUUUAUAAUUCAAUAUUUUAUAAUGUAGCCUAUGCAUGGAAGAGUUGGAUGACCUCAUACAAAGUUCUGUAAUGAACCUCUAGACCAGCCCAACCCUGCUCCUGCUGAUCAACUGUCCUGCGCAGUUCAUCUCCAACCCAAAUCAAACACACCUGCCUUUCAUUUUCAAGCAAUCCCGAAGACCUUAAUUGGUUGCUUCAGGUGUGUUUGAUUAGAAUUGGAGAUAAACUGUGGACAGGACAGUCGAUCGGCAGGAGCAGGGUUGGGCACACUUGCUCCAGAUGGUGCAGACUUUCAAUCAUAUCCUUCUCUUUAGGGCACAUCUGAUUGGUUCCUGCUGUAUCUGUAGCCAAUGAGCUUACUUGCCUUCAAAUACCUUCAAAUACUUGGUUAGCGAUUGCCUUAGCAGCGCAGCACACUUUCAGAAACCCUCCAUCUUCCCCAGCUCCACCUGUCUAGAUCUGCUACGGGUAAGUCAUGUACAGCAGCAGUAUGUCUUACAUACAUGUAUGUAUUGUCCAAUUGUAUAUAGCGGUGUAGCAGAUCUAUUCCACCAAGACCACAUAUCAACAUCGUCAUAGCCAUUACAAAAUGUUAUCAAACUAAGUUACAUUUAUGUGUAGUUCAUAUCAUAUGACGUUAUUUUUGCAUAUAACAAAGCAAAACGCUCGCCAUAGAGCCAAAAUACUGUAUGUAUGUUAGUAUACUUCUGGCCUUGUACUGUAUGUGCAGUAUUGUUAAUGAAGCUUUUGAAAUCAAGUCAGCAAUGACCGUAACAGCACUUAACACAUUUGUUUCACACUCAAGCACUGUCCUCACUAGAAUUCAUUUCAGUUGUAGAGGAUGUUUAUUUUAUUUAUGAGACAACUACAUUUUAUGUGAAUAAUUUUCAGUAUUUUCCUAUGUACAUAUAGGUCUAUAUCUGCACCACUUCAUUUUAAAGAUAGGCUGUAAUCAGUGGGCCUUAACUUGAUGUUUGGUUUGUGAUUAUAUCAGAUGCUUGUACAGAAAAGGGAUUGAGUGCACAAUGUUUGGGAUGAGUCAGCACUGAAAGGUGUUGAACUGAAUAUAUCACCGUGCUGCAGUUAUAGAGCCUGUAGAAACGAGUGAGAAUUUGACAUCUAUGACGCACAUCUCUAAAUAAAAUCCAAUUUUGCCAAAGGUGCCAGGGAUUAGUGUAUACUUGAGUUAUCUUGGGUAAUACUUUUGUUUGAAUGUUUUUUCAAAGAACGUACUUUGAUUAAAUAGUUAUUGGCAUAUUUAAACCAAAAAUGCUUUUAUACAUUGUAUAUUAAAAAGGAUUUUGUUCUGAUGUAAUGACAAGGGGUCUAUACAUUGUACAAUUUUUUGUCUGGCCAGGAUGUUUUUUGGAAGACCCUGAUAUAAUGUGCAUCUUUGAAUAUUAAAGUGGGGUACAAAAAAUAUAUUAAAAUCAUAAAAGGGAACCCACUGUACCUUUGAGCUUGUGCUAGAAUUGAACACUAGGGGUCAGUAAAAGCCUUUUCGUGAUGGAGCAAAUAUUAAAUGGGAUGCGCUUUUCUCAGUUUGCAGCAAAAUGAACAAAACAAAAAACGAAUUAUGAUUCCCUCAUAUAAUUAUGCAGUUUACAGUCCACUAAUCAUUUUUAAAGCAAUGUGAAUUAUUUUUUUUUUUUUGAGAGAGAGAGAGAAGAAUGUGAGUCAUUCAAUAUCACUGUAUGGUAGUUUUAUAUGAUUCCUACACUGUCUGUUUGUUAUACAUAUCCUUUAUUCACUUUUAAUGCACCGACUAUAAAACCUGCAAUACUGAAUUGACUGUACAAUUGCAAAACUUGUUGGCCGACAGUGUCAGACAGAAGCAUGCAGAGAAUUAAAAGAGAGA